rnacentral:rRNA from 1 species
AACGUAGGUGGCAAGCGUUAUCCGGAAUUACUGGGCGUAAAGGGUGUGCAGGCGGGGGAGCAAGUGGGGUAUGAAAUAUCCUAGCUUAACUGGGAGGGGUUAUGCCAGACUGCUUUUCUAGAGGACGAGAGAGGGGGGUGGAAUUCCGGGUGUAGUGGUGAAAUGCGUAGAGAUCCGGAGGAACCCCAGAGGCGAAGGCGGCCCCCUGGCUCGUACCUGACGCUCAGCCACGAAAGCAUGGGGAGCGAACGGG